AUUCUUUGAGGUGGUAAAUUUCGCGUCAACCACACGCCGCCGGUACAGACAGGGAAAUCUGAGAGAUGCAGGGGAACGGCACGCCUGCCAAAGAAU
rnacentral:ncRNA from 1 species